rnacentral:rRNA from 1 species
UACGUAGGGGGGCGAGCGUUGUCCGGAUUCAUUGGGCGUAAAGAGCUCGUAGGCGGCUUGGCAAGUCGGAUGUGAAAACUCCAGGCUCAACCUGGAGCCGCCAUUCGAUACUGCCAUGGCUAGAGUCCGGUAGGGGAGUGUGGAAUUCCCGGUGUAGCGGUGAAAUGCGCAGAUAUCGGGAGGAACACCGAUGGCGAAGGCAGCACUCUGGGCCGGUACUGACGCUGAGGAGCGAAAGCGUGGGGAGCGAACAGG